ACGCUGGCGGCGUGCUUAACACAUGCAAGUCGAACGCUGAAGCCUGGCUUUUGUUGGGUUGGAUGAGUGGCGAACGGGUGAGUAACACGUGAGUAACCUGCCCUCUUCUUUGGGAUAACGCCCGGAAACGGGUGCUAAUACUGGAUAUUCACUGAUCUUCGCAUGGGGGUUGGUGGAAAGGUUUGUUCUGGUGGGGGAUGGGCUCGCGGCCUAUCAGCUUGUUGGUGGGGUGAUGGCCUACCAAGGCUUUGACGGGUAGCCGGCCUGAGAGGGUGACCGGUCACAUUGGGACUGAGAUACGGCCCAGACUCCUACGGGAGGCAGCAGUGGGGAAUAUUGCACAAUGGGCGCAAGCCUGAUGCAGCGACGCCGCGUGAGGGAUGGAGGCCUUCGGGUUGUAAACCUCUUUCGCUCAUGGUCAAGCCGCAACUGUGGGUUGUGGUGAGGGUAGUGGGUAAAGAAGCGCCGGCUAACUACGUGCCAGCAGCCGCGGUAAUACGUAGGGCGCGAGCGUUGUCCGGAAUUAUUGGGCGUAAAGGGCUUGUAGGCGGUUGGUCGCGUCUGCCGUGAAAUUCUCUGGCUUAACUGGGGGCGUGCGGUGGGUACGGGCUGACUUGAGUGCGGUAGGGGAGACUGGAACUCCUGGUGUAGCGGUGGAAUGCGCAGAUAUCAGGAAGAACACCGGUGGCGAAGGCGGGUCUCUGGGCCGUUACUGACGCUGAGGAGCGAAAGCGUGGGGAGCGAACAGGAUUAGAUACCCUGGUAGUCCACGCUGUAAACGUUGGGCACUAGGUGUGGGGGCCACCCGUGGUUUCUGCGCCGUAGCUAACGCUUUAAGUGCCCCGCCUGGGGAGUACGGCCGCAAGGCUAAAACUCAAAGGAAUUGACGGGGGCCCGCACAAGCGGCGGAGCAUGCGGAUUAA
rnacentral:rRNA from 1 species